UUCAUACUCCCUCCGUCCGGAAAUGGUUGUCAUCAAAAUGAAUAAAAGGUGAUGUAUCUAGAUGUAUAUUAGUUCUAGAUACAUCCCUUUUUAUCGAUUUUAAUGACAAGUAUUUUCGGACGGAGGGAGUAUAAA
rfam:Triticum urartu cultivar G1812 contig229434, whole genome shotgun sequence.